GCUCUUCCAGAGGCAAGACCAACCAAGAUGAGGUGGGUCCACAGCUUUCCCUCCUGCCUUUCCUCUGGUUCUUUAUUUCAGUCUUUUUUGUAUACAUCGGUAGAGAUGCAGAAAUAGAACAAAGAAACAGGGCAAAUGGGCUAAAUUAUAGUGACCUAAAGGGCUUAGUGUGUUAAAUCUUCUCCUUUUCUGCAUCCAUAGAAGACAGUGCUGCUGUCUUUCCCAGGAGAUGAGAUUUACUCUCAGGAGUGUCUUUUUCCUUCAGGUUACGUUUUUGACUUUGUAGGGGAUGUCAUCAGCUCCUGUGGUAGGCUUCCUGGCAUCCUGAGAAUAUUUAUUAGCAGAUAUUUUCCUCUUUAAAAAUGUAUAAUAAGGAAGACUAAUAGUAACAUGUUUGAAUGACACAAUUAAUUGACUAGUACCUGGGAUACACACUAAUACCUGGGAUACAUCUAAUUAAGGCACUUAUAUCUUAUAAAAAUAAAGACUUUUUGAAAUGUUGAAAUAAUAAGACUAGAAACUUCUUUUUUUUUUUUUUUUUUUGAGAUGGAGUCUCGCUCUGUCACCAGGCUGGAGUGCAGUGGCAUGAUCUCGGCUCACUGCAACCUCCACCUCCCAUGUUCAAGCGAUUCUCCUGCCUCAGCCUCCCAUGUAGCUGGGACUACAGGCGUGCACCACUAGGCCCACCUAAUUUUUGUAUUUUUAGUAGAGACAGGGUUUCACCAUGUUGGCCAGGAUGACCUCGAUCUCUUGACCUCGUGAUCUGCCUGCCUUGGCCUCCCAAAGCGCUGGGAUUACAGGCAUGAGCCACCGUGUCCGGCCUAGAAACUAUUUUAAUAGAAGCAAGUAGUGCCUGAAUGGUUGGCAUCUGUUAGUGAGAUGGUGAACUGGCAGAUGGCACCUGUGGGUCAAUGCCCGUGGCCACAGUCCUGCUUUCGGACACCAGUUCUCUUCCAGGUAACCUUCUGGCAUUUUGGGGUUUGAGAUACCAUUUCCUAAAGGUGAAUUAUCAUAAAAUACUAGAAAUAACCACAUGUUUAAAAUUAUAUAUUUAAGGAACCUUUUAUUACGGAAAAUAUCAAGAAGUAGAGGAAUAGCACAGGAACCCCAAAGUUCCCAUCUCUGAGUUAUCUACAUUUUAUUAACACUAUUUUUGUGGUGUCUGAGGGAGGUUUUUCUUUCCUGGAGGGCUCCUGUAUUAUUGCCAAUGUACUUUCCUGAACGCAGCCAGAAACUGAGCCCACCCCCCCAACUAUGUGCCUUCCUAUCCCUCUCUGAAGCUUCUGCAGAAUUCCCAGCAGGACAGAGCUUGCUGGAAGCUUGGUAUGCUCAGAAGCUGCUAAAGUGUGUAUGGGCAGGGGUAGGGGCAACUUCUUGGUCCUAGCACUUCCAUAUAUCGACUUUCUUUUCUGGCUGCUAAGUGGGAGGAGUAUGUGUGUAUGCAUGUGUGUGUGUGUGUGUGCGUGUGUGUGUGUGUACAUGCAUGUGUGUGUGGAUGCAUGCAUGUGCUGUGAAGCAGGGAGACCAGCUUUCCACUCCUUCUUGUCUUCUCUCUGCAGUGCCCUGGGAGCUGUCAUUGCCCUCCUGCUCUGGGGACAGCUUUUUGCAGUGGACUCAGGCAAUGAUGUCAUGGAUAUUUCAGGUCAGUCUUUGGUUGGGUAGGAGCGUGCAUCCCUGGUGCCGCCGCAUCCCACUCUGACCCUCUCGGAUCUGCACUCUCUCUCUGAGAACACCCAAUUCCCCCUUCUUAUCUCAACCUCUGGGCUUUCAGGACCGUAAAGAACACUGGGGUUCCUGCCAGAAAUGAGGGUAGCUUGCCUUUUCCAUUGGCUUCUAUUUGGGGUGGAAGGAGAUUGAUGUGCAGAGCAGCUUCCACUCAUCUGACUUUUCAUGGUUCACUGGGAACAAUUUCCAAAUAGCAAACUCUCUGGCUUCUCUCUCUUUGCAGAUGACGGCUGCCCAAAGCCCCCCCAGAUUGCACAUGGCUAUGUGGAGCACUCGGUUCGCUACCAGUGUAAGAACUACUACAGACUGCGCACAGAAGGAGAUGGAGUGUACACCUUAAACAGUGAGAAGCAGUGGAUAAAUAAGGCUGUUGGAGACAAACUUCCUGAAUGUGAAGCAGUAUGUGGGAAGCCCAAGAAUCCGGCAAACCCGGUGCAACGGAUCCUGGGUGGACACCUGGAUGCCAAAGGCAGCUUUCCCUGGCAGGCUAAGAUGGUCUCCCGCCAUAAUCUCACCACAGGGGCCACGCUGAUCAAUGAACAAUGGCUGUUGACCACGGCUAAAAAUCUCUUCCUGAACCAUUCAGAAAAUGCAACAGUGAAAGACAUUGCCCCUACUUUAACACUCUAUGUGGGGAAAAAGCAGCUUGUAGAGAUUGAGAAGGUGGUUCUACACCCUAACUACUCCCAGGUAGAUAUUGGGCUCAUCAAACUCAAACAGAAAGUGCCUGUUAAUGAGAGAGUGAUGCCCAUCUGCCUACCUUCAAAGGAUUAUGCAGAAGUAGGGCGUGUGGGUUAUGUUUCUGGCUGGGGGCGAAAUGCCAAUUUUAAAUUUACUGACCAUCUGAAGUAUGUCAUGCUGCCUGUGGCUGACCAAGACCAAUGCGUAAGGCAUUAUGAAGGCAGCACAGUCCCCGAAAAGAAGACACCAAAGAGCCCUGUAGGGGUGCAGCCCAUACUGAAUGAACACACCUUCUGUGCCGGCAUGUCUAAGUACCAGGAAGACACCUGCUAUGGUGAUGCGGGCAGUGCCUUUGCCGUUCACGACCUGGAGGAGGACACCUGGUACGCGGCUGGGAUCCUAAGCUUUGAUAAGAGCUGUGCUGUGGCUGAGUAUGGUGUAUACGUGAAAGUGACUUCCAUCCAGGACUGGGUUCAGAAGACCAUAGCCAAGAACUAAUGCAAGGCUGGCCAGAAGCCCUUGCCUGAAAGCAAGAUUUCAGCCUGGAAGAGGGCAAAGUGGACAGGAAUGGACAGGAGUGGACGGGAUAAGAUGUGGUUUGAAGCUGAUGGGUGCCAGCCCUGCAUUGCUGAGUCAAUCAAUAAAGAGCUUUCUUUUGACUC
rnacentral:sRNA from 1 species